rnacentral:rRNA from 1 species
CCAUGUUCGGAAGGGAUAAGCGCUGAAGGCAUCUAAGCGCGAAGCCCACCUCAAGAUGAGAUUUCCCAUAGCGUAAGCUAGUAAGACCCCUGGAAGAACACCAGGUUGAUAGGCCAGAGGUGUAAGCGUCGUGAGGCGUUUAGCUGACUGGUACUAAUAGGUCGAGGGCUUGAUCA